AGAUGGGAUGGGAAGAGGAAGGUGAGGCAGCACUGGCACCCCUGUGGAUCCUCAUAAAUGGGAGCUUGCAUGAAUGUGGCUCUCAGUGACAGUGGCGUUCCACGAAGCUGAGCAGGGCUGUCUUUGACUCCUGCCCAGGUACACAUCCCUCAGAUGCAGCCGAGCUCCAGCUCCAAAAAGCUGCAAAACCCAGGAAUUUAGGGCAGAAAGGUGAAAACUGGAGAGGCACGGAGCGUCGCAGCGCCUUCGCCUGCCCUGCUGGUUGCUGUUGGUCACAGCUGGGGCACGGCAUGGGGACACCACACGGCACAAGGCCAUAGAGGCCACACGCUGCAGCCGGGAGGGACCCCAAAGCCUCCCACCCAUUGGCACAGAGCCUCUCCCCUCUUUCUCCUUCCCAAUUUCCUGGGCCCCCCUCUCUCAGCAGGUGGAUGCUGGGUAAGAGGUGUGUCUGGGAGCCGUGCUCGCCACGCAGCGUCGCCGCACGGGGCUGCCGCCGUCGUCGCCUCCUGCUUGUCGGUGUGGGGUCCGCGUGGGGACAUGGGGACAGAUGGGGCCGAGCCUCCCCACGUGGCACCGGGGUGCUCCGGAGCGGGAUGAGGAUGUGCCAAAGGAAAGGUCCCCCGCACGCGGCGGUGGCACCGCUGCCAGAUCCUCGCUCUGCGUUUUCCCUUUUUUUUCCCCCCCGUUUGGCUUUUGGCAGCAGCGCUGGGAACAACAGCAGCCCCCCGUGGCCCCGGCCCCGUGCCAGGGCGGGUGAUGGCAGAGGGGCUCUGCUCAGCUGCGGAGCGUCCCCGCGCUGCGCGCUGCCAAGUUCCCUGCGCUGGCACCACAGGCGGCUCCGGAGGCAGUGAGGCUGGGGCUGGAUUGUGAAAGGGAAUGAGGAGAAAAAAAAAAUGGACGCAUGCCAUCGCUGGAGCGGCGAGGCUGCCAAAAUGCCAGCAGGCAGCGUGGGGCCGAAGCCAGCCGGAGGGGAGAGGAGGGUCUGCAGCCCAUCGUCGCGCGGCACAUGGAGGACGGGCGGCGUGGCGGAGUGCCGCUUGUCCGGGGCAGGACGGAUGGUGGAUGAUGGAGCUGGAGAGGAGGAAGGUAUGACUUGCCUUCGUUUGCAUGCCUGCUGGGUGUGUGCUGGUGGGCUGGGUGCCCGUGGCCUCGCUGCACUGCUGGUGCCACCGCGCCCCCGACGCCUAUGGAGGAAGAUCCUCAGCCCCAUGCUGGAUGGAGCAGCCCCAGCCCGGCCCGGGUGCUGCCGUGCCACCAUCCUGCUGCAGCCCUUUGGGUACUGACCCAGGACUUGGGCUUGUGUCUCCUUCUCUGGACAGCAGCAGCCAACAGCAUGGACUGUGCCAGGUGAUGGAUGUGCCAUGGGGGUCUGCCUGUGCCAACAGCUGGGCACCCAACCUGGGUGACAGGAACAGGAACCACUCCUCGGGUCUCAGCAUCCCCAGCAGCACAUCCAGGCAGAGGAUGCUCCCCACCCAGCCACACACGGAGCACUGCCACACACAGCUGCUAUGGGAGCAUGGAUACGACCCGGCAAGGAGGACUGCAGCAGCACAGAGGGCAGCACCACAAAGCACCGCCGCUGCCCAAGGGAUGCACCUACCCCACGUCCUGGGGAUGCUCCGCAGUGGCCGCCACGUUCCCAUUCUGCUUUGUGCUCUGCUCUGCGCACCACCCCGACCCCGUGCACCCCCAGGAUGUGGCUGGCAGCCCCCGCAGCCCUGGGGCAGAGUGCCUGGCCGUGGGGCCGCCGGUCACCGCUGGCUGCAUCUGCUGGGGCACGCAAGAGUGACUCCAGAUGCAUUGGAAGUGCCGCGCUCGAAUUUCAAUUUCAUCGUCUCACAAUCAUUUUCAGGCUCCUCUUAGUGCCACAUUAACGAAGCCUGCUCGUUUGAAUGCAUAAUUAGCCCAAGCAUUCUACCUCGCUAAUUUCGAAGCAGGAGAAGAGAGUGGGGGGGGGGAAAGGGGGGGGGGAAUUUGCAUAUUAAUUUAGCAGAGGGAGAGAAAAAUUGUUUACCACUUGCUUCUUGCUGUUGAUCACAGCGGACUUAACUCUUUCCCGGGUGCCAUCUGGAGCUGUGAGCCUCGCGCCGGCCGACACGUGGGGAUGGGAUGCAAAGGUUACGUGGCUGCAAUUAAAUCCCCACCAUGCAGCGGUGUGGCUGCUGGGAGCCGACUGGGAGCACUGGGACUGCAGCACUGCGGUCGGGUGGGCAGGGGGUGGCCAGGAUGGAGGUGUGUGCUGCACAUCAGCACUCCCGGGUGGGAAGCGACAUUGUCACCAUGCACAGACAUAGGGGUACCCACUGCUCGUCCUGCAAAGGGCCGUGGGGUCUGGGUGUGUGCACAGAGCACCUUUGGUCUGUCCCCUCCGUGGGGACACUGCUGUCCUCCUCCCUGUUCAGCAAAUCGUGCUGCCGCCUGUCCCCAAAAUCCCUCUGCAAAGGACGCAUCGCCCUGGGAAUGCCGUGGGGCCACAGCACUGUGCCUGCAGCCCUGGGGCACCCUCUGGGCAGAGGGACACCCACUCCAAGCAGUCAAAGCGCACCGCACUGCUGUGGGAGCCUUUGUUUGGUGUCUGUGGGUGCCCUGAGCCGGGCUGGGCGGUGAUUUGUCUGCCUCCUGCAGCGGGGCUGUCAGCUCACAGCUGCCAACCACUUCCAUUUGCGCUGCCAUUAAACAAUCGCAGGUCUGACAGGUAGGAACAAAAUAAAGCGGGGGAGAAAAGCCUCAAAAAAUCACCCAGCAGGAGCACCGCUGGCUCACCGCAUCCGGAACCCUCCUCACGUCUGUUGCGCUCUUUGGAUCUGCGUCCCCAAAGGAGUUUGGUCACCCUGGGAAGCCCACGUGGAGCCGGGCAGCACAGAGCCAUCCCAGUGCAUCCCAAUGGCCUGGAGACGCCGUGCCAGGUCAGCUCCUGCAGCUCCUGCAGGGAUGGGGCCUGGCACCGAGCUGCCGCCCGGGGGACACCGCGUGCCAUCCCCGUGACACCGUGCUGGCAGAGCAGGGCCGGCCCGCAGAGGGUUAACAGCUGAUUGCAGCCUUUGUCUCUGCAUCAGUGUACAUAAUGCGCCCCGCAUUUGCAUACUGCAGUGUGCGCUCAAUUAAAAUGAACUUUUAAUUUCUUCUAAGUAAAUUACUUCUUCCCGCUACGUGACGCGCACAAAUGUCAGAAUAAUGGGAGAGCCUUAAUGAGCUGGGAAUGAGGGGUGGGGAGGGGAGCGUGGGGGCCCCUGGGCCACAUCGCAGCCACCUCCCAGGGACAUUCCUGCUGCCACCGUGUCCCCAGGGCAGGGCAGACCCUGGCAUCCACCUCCUCCUGCCUGGUGCAGCAUCCCUGCAAGGUCCUGCCCUCCUCCUGGCACCUGCACACCUCACACCACCCCAAAACACCCCACGGGCAUCUCCUGUAUGGGGUGUCCCAGUGCGGC
ensembl:lncRNA